UACAGGGGGGGCAAGCGUUGUUCGGAAUUACUGGGCGUAAAGGGUCAGUAGGCGGCCAACUAAGUCCGACGUGAAAUCCCAAAGCUUAACUUUGGAACUGCGUCGGAUACUGGAUGGCUUGAAUUCGGGAGAGGGAUGCAGAAUUCCAGGUGUAGCGGUGAAAUGCGUAGAUAUCUGGAGGAAUACCGGUGGCGAAGGCGGCAUCCUGGACCGACAUUGACGCUGAGGAGCGAAAGUGUGGGGAGCGAACAGG
rnacentral:rRNA from 1 species